AUGACCCUGAGGGCUGUGUUGUCGGGAGCCAUUUGGAGCCAGGCCCAGAUGGAGGGCCCGACAGCGAGCGUCUGGUGGCCGGGGCUUGGGAGUAUGCUCAUCCAGUCUACAUGUGUUUUGUGGACUUGGAGAAGGCGUAUGACCGGGUCCCCCGAGAGAAACUGGGAGGUGCUGCGGGAGUACGGGGUGAGGAUGUCCUUGCUUGGGGCCAUCCAAGCCUUGUACGCCCAAAGCGAGAGCUGUGUUCGGGUGCUCGGCAGUAAGUCGAAGGCGUUUCCGGUGGGGGUUGGCCUUCACCAGGGCUGCGCCUUGUCACCAAUCUUGUUUGCGGUUUUCAUGGACAGGAUAUCGAGGCGUAUUCGGGGGGAGGAGGGUCUACAGUUCGGGGGGCUGCGGAUCUCAUCGCUGCUUUUUGCAGAUGAUGUGGUCCUGAUGGCAUCUUCCGUCUGUGACCUCCAACUCUCACUGGAGCGUUUCGCAGUCGAGUGUGAAGCGCUCGGGAUGAGGAUUAGCACCUCUAAAUCUGAGGCCAUGGUUCUCCGCAGGAAACCGAUGGAUUGCCUACUCCAGGUAGGGAAUGUGUCCUUACCCCAAGUGAAGGAGUUCAAGUACCUCGGGGUCUUGUUCACGAGUGAGGGGAAGAUGGAGUGUGAGUUUGGCCGCAGAAUCGGAGCAGCGGGGGCGGUAUUGCACUCGCUUUACCACACUGUUGUGACGAAAAGAGAGCUGAGCCGGAAGGCAAAGCUCUCGAUCUACCAGUCAAUCUUCGUCCCUAUCCUCACCUAUGGUCAUGAAGGAUGGGUCAUGACCGAAAGAACUAGGUCACGGGUACAAGCGGCCGAAAUGGGUUUCCUCAGGAGAGUGGCUGGCGUCUCCCUUAGGGAUAGGGUGAGAAGCUCAGCCAUUCGCGAGGAGCUCGGAGUAGAGCCGCUGCUCCUUUGCGUCGAAAGGAGCCAGUUGAGGUGGUCUGGGAAUCUGGUGAGGAUGCACCCUGGGCGCCUCCCUAGGGAGGUGUUCCAGGCACGGACAGCUGAGGCCCCGGGGAAGACCCAGAACUAG
ensembl:lncRNA